AUUGAACGCUGGCGGCAGGCCUAACACAUGCAAGUCGAACGGCAGCACAGAAGAGCUUGCUCUUUGGGUGGCGAGUGGCGGACGGGUGAGUAAUGUCUGGGAAACUGCCCGAUGGAGGGGGAUAACUACUGGAAACGGUAGCUAAUACCGCAUAACGUCGCAAGACCAAAGUGGGGGACCUUCGGGCCUCACACCAUCGGAUGUGCCCAGAUGGGAUUAGCUAGUAGGUGGGGUAAUGGCUCACCUAGGCGACGAUCCCUAGCUGGUCUGAGAGGAGGGCCAGCCACACUGGAACUGAGACACGGUCCAGACUCCUACGGGAGGCAGCAGUGGGGAAUAUUGCACAAUGGGCGCAAGCCUGAUGCAGCCAUGCCGCGUGUAUGAAGAAGGCCUUCGGGUUGUAAAGUACUUUCAGCGGGGAGGAAGGCGGUGAGGUUAAUAACCUUGCCGAUUGACGUUACCCGCAGAAGAAGCACCGGCUAACUCCGUGCCAGCAGCCGCGGUAA
rnacentral:rRNA from 1 species